GAUGAACGCUGGCGGCGUGCCUAAUACAUGCAAGUCGAGCGAACAGACGCGGAGCUUGCUCCUCUGACGUUAGCGGCGCACGGGUGAGUAACACGUGGAUAACCUACCUAUAAGACUGGGAUAACUUCGGGAAACCGGAGCUAAUACCGGAUAAUAUAUUGAACCGCAUGGUUCAAUAGUGAAUGACGGUUUUGCUGUCACUUAUAGAUGGAUCCGCGCCGCAUUAGCUAGUUGGUAAGGUAACGGCUUACCAAGGCAACGAGGCGUAGCCGAGCUGAGAGUGGGAGCGGCCACACUGGAGGUGAGACGCGGUCAAGAGGGCUGAGGGAGGCAGCAGUAGGGGACAUCAGGCAGUGGGCGCAAUCCUGGCGCAGCAACGCCGCGCGAGAGACAGAGGUCCUGGGCUCGAGAUGCGCAGUUGCUAGGGAGAAACAGGUGUGGAGGGGAAUAGGCUGGAGGCGACGGUCGUUGAGCAGAAAGCUACGGCCAACUACGUG
rnacentral:rRNA from 1 species